rnacentral:tRNA from 1 species
GCGGGCGUAGCCAAGCGGUAAGGCAUUGGAUUGUGGCUCCAUGAUUCGCGGGUUCGAACCCCGUCGUUCGCC